rnacentral:rRNA from 1 species
GUAGGUGGCAAGCGUUGUCCGGAAUUAUUGGGCGUAAAGCGCGCGCAGGCGGUUCUUUAAGUCUGAUGUGAAAGCCCACGGCUCAACCGUGGAGGGUCAUUGGAAACUGGAGAACUUGAGUACAGAAGAGGAAAGCGGAAUUCCACGUGUAGCGGUGAAAUGCGUAGAGAUGUGGAGGAACACCAGUGGCGAAGGCGGCUUUCUGGUCUGUAACUGACGCUGAGGCGCGAAAGCGUGGGGGAGCAAACAGGAUUAGAUACCCUGGUAGUCCACGCCGUAAACGAUGAGUGCUAAGUGUUAGUGGGUUUCCGCCCCCCCCUUAGUGCUGCAGCUAACGCAUUAAGCACUCCGCCUGGGGAUACGGCCGCAAGGCUG